rnacentral:sRNA from 1 species
AAAUACACUCACAAACAACAACACACACACAACAACAACAACAACGUCAACGGUCCAAUAUGUAUAUCGUGUAUCCAGGCUAUAUAACUAGCAACUUUAAGUUGUGCAACGCUUUGUCCAGUUUUUAUGUAAAAAAAAUCAGCUACGUUAAAUGAGAGAGAGAGCCGUGUGGUAAUCAAAACUGUGCAGCUGAUAUCCAAUUAUGGACAAGGAAUCGCAUACAGAAUCAAAAGAAACGCAACAGUCGUAACAAGCAAAGAAAACAUGAUGGUCGCAAUAUUUUAAGUAUCGUCUUUAUAGUGUAUAGUGUUAAAAUUCUAAACAAAAAUUGGGAAGCGUGUUAAUUAUCGUUUAAGCUUACGAGAAUUGAUUAAGGCAAAUGGAACAAACCAACAACAACAACAACAACAAAACAAACUUAGAACACAAAUUUUUAAGGUUUUCAAUACUGCAUAAUGUGUAAAACAUUUCUGAUUGUAGCCCCACUUUGAUAAUACCUAUGACUAAAUACUAACUAAGCUCUAUUCAAAUUAAUUUAACUAGACACUUGCAAUUAGAUGAAACAACGGAGCAAAACCAAAACAAACACAAAAUAAAA